rnacentral:tRNA from 1 species
GCGGAUGUGGCUCAGUGGUAGAGCAUCGGCUUCCCAAGCCGAGGAGCGCGGGUUCGAAUCCCGUCAUCCGCUCCA